rnacentral:rRNA from 1 species
GAUGAACGCUGGCGGCGUGCCUAAUACAUGCAAGUCGAGCGAACAGACGAUGAGCUUGCUCCUCUGACGUUAGCGGCGGACGGGUGAGUAACACGUGUAUAACCUACCUAUAAGUCUGGGAUAACUUCGGGACACCGGCGCUAAUCCCGGAUAAUAUAUUGAACCGCAUGGUUCAAUAGUGAAAUACGGUUUUGGUGUCACUUAUAGAUGGUUCCGCGCCGCAUUAGCUAGUUGGUAAGGUAACGGCUUACCAAGGCAACGAUGCGUAGCCGACCUGUGAGGGUGAUAGGCCACACUGGAGCUGAGACACGGUCCAGACGCCUGCGGGAGGCACCAGUAGGGAAUGUUACGCAAUGGGCGAAAGCCUGACGGAGCGACGCCGAGUGAGUGGUGAAGGUCUUCGGAUCGUAAUACUGUGUUAUUAGGGAAAAACCAAUGUCUAAGUAACUGUGCACGUCUUGACGGUAACUAAUAAGGAAGCAACGGCUAACUACGUG